rnacentral:lncRNA from 1 species
CGAAAUUUUGAUAAGAUUUGAAUAAUUAAUUCAUAUAUUUGUUUUUUUUUAUGAUUCGUAGCCGUAGGUAGUACUUUUCUUUAGUUCUAUUUCAUUUGUUCAAGGUCGGACUAGGCGCAUUUAUCUCUAUCAUAAAACUGGGUUUUAGGCAGUUCAAAGUAAAAUAAUGAACACGCACGUGUACAUGGUAUAUGUCCAAUCUUUUUCCCAAUAACCGAAUUCACGGUGGGUGAGGUUGUCCUGCGAGAGAACGUUCUGUGCUGGUGAUUCGGUCCUGACUGGUGCUGGAGAUCAUUAAAAA